rnacentral:rRNA from 1 species
GACGAACGCUGGCGGCGUGCCUAAUACAUGCAAGUCGAACGCAGUGGGGACGGGUGAGUAACACCUGGCUAACCUCCCAUCACAGUGGAUAACACUUGGAAACAGGUGCUAAACCGAUACUGAUGGAUGGACCCGCGGUGCAUUCGCUAGUUGGUGCGGUAACGGCUCACCAAGGCCACGAGGCAUAGCCGAGCUGAGAGGGUGAUCGGCCACACUGGGACUGAGACACGGCCCAGACUCCGACGGGAGGCAGCAGUAGGGAAUCUUCGGCAAUGGACGAAAGUCUGACCGAGCAACGCCGCGUGAGUGAAGAAGGUUUUCGGAUCGUAAAACUCUGUUGUUAGAGAAGCGGUAUCUAACCAGAAAGCCACGGCUAACUACGUGCCAGCAGCCGCGGUAAUUC